AAGACACGUUGUGAAUUCCGGGCAGGAUAUUGUUUUCUGCCAGAUAAUUUUUGGAAGUUAGGAAUGCUAAGCCAGAGUUUCUCUCAGAAAGAUAACAGGCUCUGGAGGAUCACUGCUGGGUAAGUUUUCAGUAUUUCUGCCCCUGGCACUGCGAAGAUAACUCCAGGAUCUGGUUUUAUUGGGCAGUUUCUCCAACAGGUCUCCACAUCACAUCAAUGGAAGCUUGAAGACUCUCCUCAGAAGAUGACAGGCAGUUGGAAAAUCUGUGUAAAUGUUAACUUAGCUUUGGUAAGUUCUACCAAUCUACAUCCCCCUGCUAUGCUUACUAUACUCUUUGCUCAUUGUUUA
rnacentral:lncRNA from 12 species